rnacentral:rRNA from 1 species
UACGUAGGUGGCAAGCGUUUGUCCGGAUUUACUGGGCGUAAAGAGCGCGCAGGCGGUCGGAUAAGUCGAAUGUGAAAGCCCCCGGCUCAACUGGGGAGGGUCAUUCGAUACUGUUCGACUCGAAGGCAGGAGAGGGAAGUGGAAUUCCCGGUGUAGUGGUGAAAUGCGUAGAUAUCGGGAGGAACACCAGUGGCGAAGGCGACUUCCUGGCCUGUUCUUGACGCUGAGGCGCGAAAAGCGUGGGGGAGCAAACAGG